UAGAAAAGAAGAAGCAUUCAGUAGGCUUGCAAUUUUUUUUAAAUAUAUUUUUAAAUGAUCUGAAUAAUUUUUUUGUUUUUAUUUAGUUGAAUGAUGAAAUUGUUUAUACAAAAGAUUGGCUCUUUAACCUUUAUUUUAAAUAUGUUAUUUCCUUGUUAACUGUUGUUUGUCAUUAACAAAGCAAUUGAAAAUAUACGCAUAAUGAAAACAGAUUUAUCUUUCGAACUGUUCACAAAAUUUUUGGUUUGGAUACAAAAAACCAAGUGAAUAUGAUACUGGAAAGACUGUUUACCGUUUGACUCCUGUCCCAAUCUAACCUAGUGGGUUCAAAAAGAAGGGACCGCGCUGGAAACAUGAGUGGAUUAAAAGGAUCACCCCUUUUUGAAUUAAUAGUCGAUGUGGUAACCAGCUAGAAGUUGUAACCUGCUCGUAUGAAAGGAUUUCUCGACAUGAAAUUGUUAAUUUUAUUGAACAACGCCAAGAAACAAAGCUCGCUCAAGAAACAGAAAAGAAAGAAAAAGAUGAACAAUAUUCUGUUGAACAAUACUAUUGUUUUAU
rnacentral:lncRNA from 1 species